GAUGAAAUUGAGUAGGGCGGGGCACGUGAAACCCUGUCUGAACAUGGGGGGACCAUCCUCCAAGGCUAAAUACUCCUGACCGACCGAUAGUGAACCAGUACCGUGAGGGAAAGGCGAAAAGAACCCUGGUGAAGGGAGUGAAAUAGAUCCUGAAACCGUGUGCGUACAAGCAGUCGGAGCCCUUCGGGGUGACGGCGUACCUUUUGUAUAAUGGGUCAGCGACUUACUGUUCGUGGCGAGCUUAACCGUAUAGGGGAGGCGAAGGGAAACCGAGUCUGAUAAGGGCGCAUAGUCGCGGGCAGUAGACCCGAAACCGGGUGAUCUAGUCAUGGCCAGGGUGAAGGUUGAGUAACAUCAACUGGAGGCCCGAACCCACGUCUGUUGCAAAAGACGGGGAUGAGCUGUGAUUAGGAGUGAAAAGCUAAUCGAACCCGGAGAUAGCUGGUUCUCCUCGAAAGCUAUUUAGGUAGCGCCUCGUAUGUAUCCUCUCGGGGGUAGAGCACUGUUAUGGCUAGGGGGUCAUUGCGACUUACCAAACCAUUGCAAACUCCGAAUACCGAGACGGACUGUACGGGAGACACACGGCGGGUGCUAACGUCCGUCGUGAAAAGGGAAACAACCCAGACCCACAGCUAAGGUCCCAAAUUACUGCUAAGUGGAAAACCAUGUGGAAAGGCACAGACAGCCAGGAGGUUGGCUUAGAAGCAGCCACCCUUUAAAGAAAGCGUAAUAGCUCACUGGUCGAGUCGGUCUGCGGGGAAGAUUUAACGGGGCUAAGCAGUAAACCGAAGCUUGGGGUGUGCAUCUUUGAUGUACGCGGUAGAGGAGCGUUCCGUAGGCCUGCGAAGGUGGAUUGAGAAGUCUGCUGGAGGUAUCGGAAGUGCGAAUGCUGACAUGAGUAACGAUAAUGCGGGUGAAAAGCCCGCACGCCGAAAGCCCAAGGUUUCCUUGCGCAACGUUAAUCGACGCAGGGUGAGUCGGCCCCUAAGGCGAGGCAGAAAUGCGUAGUCGAUGGGAAGCUGGUUAAUAUUCCAGCACCUCGCGUAAGUGCGAUGGGAGGACGGAGAAGGUUAGGUGAGCCGGGCGUUGGUUGUCCCGGUGAGAGGACUGAGGUGGUGCCCUUAGGCAAAUCCGGGGGUGCAACAUUGAGGUCAAGGACGAGUCCAAUGGGACUAAGUCACCGAUAUCACGCUUCCAGGAAAAGUCCCUAAGCUUCAGCUUACGCAGACCGUACCGUAAACCGACACAGGUGGGCAGGAUGAGAAUUCUCAGGCGCUUGAGAGAACUCGGGUGAAGGAACUAGGCAAAAUAGCACCGUAACUUCGGGAGAAGGUGCGCCAACCAUGGUUAAUAGCUGAGGUUGGCCGAAGUGACCAGGCCGCUGCGACUGUUUAUCAAAAACACAGCACUCUGCAAACACGAAAGUGGACGUAUAGGGUGUGACGCCUGCCCGGUGCCGGAAGGUUAAUUGAUGGGGUCAGCCGCAAGGCGAAGCUCUUGAUCGAAGCCCCGGUAAACGGCGGCCGUAACUAUAACGGUCCUAAGGUAGCGAAAUUCCU
rnacentral:rRNA from 1 species